AUUGAACGCUGGCGGCAGGUCUAACACAUGCAAGUCGAGCGGAGCGGCGGACGGGUGAGUAAUGCCUAGGAAUCUGCCUGGUAGUGGGGGAUAACGUCCGGAAACGGGCGCUAAUACCGCAUACUAUCAGAUGAGCCUAGGUCGGAUUAGCUAGUUGGUGGGGUAAAGGCCUACCAAGGCGACGAUCCGUAACUGGUCUGAGAGGAUGACCAGCCACACUGGAACUGAGACACGGUCCAGACUCCUACGGGAGGCAGCAGUGGGGAAUAUUGCACAAGGGGCGCAAGCCUGAUGCAGCCAUGCCGCGUGUGUGAAGAAGGCCUUCGGGUUGUAAAGCACUUUCAGCGGGGAGGCGUUACCCGCAGAAGAAGCACCGGCUAACUCCGUGCCAGCAGCCGCGGUAAUAC
rnacentral:rRNA from 1 species